rnacentral:rRNA from 1 species
GACGAACGCUGGCGGCGUGCUUAACACAUGCAAGUCGAACGAAGUGGCGAACGGGUGAGUAACGCGUAAUCAACCUGCACUUCAGAGGGGGCCAACAGUUGGAAACGACGGCUAAUACCGCAUAUUGAAGGGGGGGUUGGUGGUUGAUUAGCUAGUUGGAGGGGUAACGGCCCACCAAGGCGAUGAUCAGUAGCCGGUCUGAGAGGAUGAACGGCCACAUUGGGACUGAGACACGGCCCAGACUCCUACGGGAGGCAGCAGUGGGAAUCUUCCGCAAUGGACGAAAGUCUGACGGAGCAACGCCGGGUGGGUGAUGACGGCCUGCGGGUUGUAAAUCUCUGUUAAUCGGGACGCGGUACCGGAAUAGAAAGCCACGGCUAACUACGUGCCAGCAGCCGCGGUAAUUC